rnacentral:rRNA from 2 species
UACGGAGGAUGCAAGCGUUAUCCGGAAUUAUUGGGCGUAAAGCGUCCGUAGGUGGCUCAUCAAGUCUGCUGUCAAAGCGUGGAGCUUAACUCCAUAUCGGCGGUGGAAACUGAUGAGCUAGAGUGCGAUAGGGGUAGCAGGAAUUCCCAGUGUAGCGGUGAAAUGCGUAGAGAUUGGGAAGAACACCAGCGGCGAAAGCGUGCUACUGGGUCUGCACUGACACUGAGGGACGAAAGCUAGGGGAGCGAAAGGG